rnacentral:rRNA from 1 species
GAUGAACGCUGGCGGCGUGCCUAAUACAUGCAAGUCGAGCGAACGGACGAGAAGCUUGCUUCUCUGAUGUUAGCGGCGGACGGGUGAGUAACACGUGGAUAACCUACCUAUAAGACUGGGAUAACUUCGGGAAACCGUAGCUAAUACCGGAUAAUAUUUUGAACCGCAUGGUCCAAAAGUGAAAGACGGUCUUGCUGUCACUUAUAGAUGGAUCCGCGCUGCAUUAGCUAGUUGGUAAGGUAACGGCUUACCAAGGCAACGAUGCAUAGCCGACCUGAGAGGGUGAUCGGCCACACGGGAACUGAGACACGGUCAAGACUCCUACGGGAGGCAGCAGUAGGGAAUCUUACGCAAUGGGCGAAAGCAUGACGGAGCAACGCCGCGUGAGUGAUGAAGGUCUUCGGAUCGUAAAACUCUGUUAUUAGGGAAGAACAUAUGUGUAAGUAACUGUGCACAUCUUGACGGUACCUAAUCAGAAAGCCACGGCUAACUACGUG